UAAAGGUGUGUAUCACAAAACCA
rnacentral:piRNA from 1 species